AGUCUUGCGGCAUGUGUUGCUGAUCCCGAUCAGCACCAUGCCAGCAGCCAGGUCUUCAGGCUGCGCCGUGGAACGACCACGUAGACCGAUCCAGUCCGCUUCGCAUCGUUUUCGCGGACGCACGCCACAGCCGGCGUCGAUGC
rfam:Bordetella petrii strain DSM 12804, complete genome